GGAGGCUUGGCAGAGUGGUCGAAUGCGGCGGUCUUGAAAACCGUUGACCCUUCACGGGGUCCGUGGGUUCGAAUCCCACAGCCUCCG
rnacentral:tRNA from 1 species